rnacentral:rRNA from 1 species
UACGUAGGGGGCUAGCGUUAUCCGGAAUUACUGGGCGUAAAGGGUGCGUAGGUGGUUUCUUAAGUCAGAGGUGAAAGGCUACGGCUCAACCGUAGUAAGCCUUUGAAACUGGGAAACUUGAGUGCAGGAGGGGAGAGUGGAAUUCCUAGUGUAGCGGUGAAAUGCGUAGAUAUUAGGAGGAACACCAGUUGCGAAGGCGGCUCUCUGGCGCAUAACUGACGCUGAGGCUCGAAAGCGUGGGGAGCGAACGGGAUUAGAUACCCCCGUAGUCCCUGAGCGGGCU